UACAGAGGGGGCAAGCGUUAUUCGGAAUUAUUGGGCGUAAAGGGCGCGUAGGCGGCCUUGCAAGUGACGGGUGAAAUCCCUCGGCUUAACCGAGGAACUGCCUGUCAAACUGCGUGGCUUGAGACCAGGAGAGGUGAGUGGAAUUCCCAGUGUAGCGGUGAAAUGCGUAGAUAUUGGGAGGAACACCAGUGGCGAAGGCGGCUCACUGGACUGGUACUGACGCUGAGGCGCGAAAGCUAGGGGAGCGAACGGG
rnacentral:rRNA from 1 species